rnacentral:rRNA from 1 species
CGCGUAGGCGGCGCGAGAAGUCAGGCGUGAAAGCCCCGGGCUCAACCUGGGAGGUGCGCUUGGGACUCUGGUGCUGGAGUUCGGGAGAGGAGAGUGGAAUUCCCAGUGUAGAGGUGAAAUUCGUAGAUAUUGGGAAGAACACCGGUGGCGAAGGCGGCUCUCUGGACCGAUACUGACGCUGAGGCGCGAAAGCGUGGGGAGCAAACAGGAUUAGAUACCCUGGUAGUCCACGCUGUAAACGAUGUGUGCUAGACGUUGGGGAGCCUAGCUCUUCGGUGUCGCCGCAAACGCUUUAAGCACACCGCCUGGGGAGUACGGCCGCAAGGUUAAA